GACUAAAAAGAGACCACACCAAUAUUUCAGGUCCAUUUGUUAUGGAAGAUGACUUGAAUGGUGGCCCUGCAAAUGCCUCUGAAACAGCUGAUACUAUUCUUGAAGAGCUAAAGAGGCUGUUGGACACUAAGGAAGAUGAUGCAAAUGUUGUCCCAAUUCAAGAUCAUCAACCUCGGUCUAUAUCUAAUGACUGGGCCAUUAGAACUGAAAUGAGGGCGGAGAGAUGGAAAGAAGCUAGAUCUUCUCUUGUGGAGAACAUUUUGAAAGGAGAAAUACCUACCCAUAUUUGUGAUUGCAGUAACGGGACAGUCCUUGUUUCUUCAGGCAGGCCCAGGACCCUGAUCACUAUGAAUGGAAAGGAAGAUUUUUGCAUACAUUUUUUUUUCUAAUAUGUAUUACCAUUUUCUUAAUGUCUUAUAAUUUCAUGUAGCUUGUUUUCCUCCUUUAGGCCGUUACAACCUUAGCAUGCCUCACUUGUCCUGUGCUUCGUGUGGAUAUUCACAAGAGGCGUCUUUGCCAGAACUUCAAAAGAGUGGUUACUGGCCUGGUAACAUUCCUGCAAGAGCACUGUUCACAACAGAUGUGCUUGUCUCAUUUCAAGAGAUGAAAAUGGCAUCACCAGGGAUGUCUUUUCAAGCAUUUGUUAAAAUGCUUGAUGAGAAAACAAUUCUCUUUGGUAGAAGUGGAAAAAUAUCGGCCAAUGCCUUCAGCUGCAGUUUCAAUGAAUGGGUUGCAGCAAGAUAUGCAGUGGAAAAGAUGUUUCAGGAGGAUUUUACUUGUCCAGCAUGCACUCCGGACAUGUUAGCUGUAUCUGUUGAUGGCAAUCGCAAACACUAUCGCUUUAAAAACAAAGCAAGCACAGAGAAAAGGGGAUUACUUGACCAACUUUUUAUACAGAGUGAUGUGGAGGUGUCUGAAUUUGUGGACUAUGUCCGCAAAAACAGUGAUCACGUGUCGGGAAGAGGAUUAUGUGGUGCAUCACACUGGACAGCAGCAAAAGAACUGGCCAAGAAAUCAAGCAGCAAACUGGAUGAGGAGGGAUUAGAGAUUGCUGUCUGUCGCCAUGGCGUUCUCCUUAUGGCCUUGAAUAUGUUUCGAGGGGAAAUUUUUGCUUACCCCCUUUUUCUGCAGAAAAAAUAAUACUUCCCAUAUCUCCAGCGUAUUUCUAAGCACUUCCCCGAGCUGCAGUCUUUACUGGACAUGCAUCCUUUUCUGUCAGUGAUGCAUGCCAAAGCACACUCUUGGAAAUGUGAGGUCAAGUAUAGUGGGGCCUACCAGGAAGGAGCUGGGUCAACUAUUGGUGAGGAAGUGGAGCAGGUGAACAGCUUCCUAUCUAGAAUUGCUGUUACAAGCAAAUACAUGUCAAAAUCAGGCCGAGCAGACAUGAUUACAAUGCAAGCCAUGUUGAAUAAUAAGAAGAAUAU